CUUAACUCAGAGCUGACAUCCAUUGAAAUCAAAGUGGGAUAUGUUUCUUUACUCUGCUUUGUAUCAUGUUUAAGAGCAGUUCCCUGGAGCGAAAUGAGCUCUUCCAAGAAUGAUCUACACUCUGGUCCAAAAUGCAGGAAUUCUUAUGCAGGCACAGAGGAGCCCGAAGGUGAAAUUGAAGAUGUUAAAAACAGUGUGAUGUGGAAGCAGACUGAAUGAGAAAUUUUUCUUCCAAAUAACCUUUAUCUCCCACUGGCAUUGAAGUGUCUAGUUGCUCACUGCUACAGAAAAUGUUACUGUUUYUUCCCAAAUGAUCUCUCUGUUGUGUCACAUUCCAGAGAACUGAUGAUGAGUUUUACUGUCAGAAACUGAAGAAAGAAAGUAGGUCUCCUGGAAAUUAGAGCAAUUUUCUCACACUUCCUUUUCCCUUCUCACCUUAUUGUAUAUCUGUUUAACAAACAUUUUCUCUCAUCUCUAUUUAAAAUAUGUUUAUAUUUUAAUAUGGAAAAACCUCCUAGAUUUCACAUUUGAUACUUCAGGGCUCUACAAAGUAUUGCAAGUAAAGAGAACGUUUGAUAAAAAGCRUGUUUGGCAGUGUCCUCCAAGGAAGGGUUAGUAACACAAAGGACUGGUGCAGGAUGAUUUAUCAUUCAGGGGCUACUGCCAUCAGUGACAGCUCUGCCAUGAAGAGCGGUUCUUAGUGGUCUGCUCCACCUGAGGUGGCACAGAAAAAUGAGAGCGACUGGUGAAGCAUCUCUCCAUCGGCCUAAUCAGACCUUCUACAAG
rnacentral:lncRNA from 1 species